rnacentral:rRNA from 1 species
CCUACGGGAGGCAGCAGUGAGGAAUAUUGGUCAAUGGACGAGAGUCUGAACCAGCCAAGUAGCGUGAAGGAUGACUGCCCUAUGGGUUGUAAACUUCUGUUAUAAAGGAAUAAAACGAGGCACGUGUGCCUUUUUGCAUGUACUUUAUGAAUAAGGAUCGGCUAACUCCGUGCCAGCAGCCGCGGUAAUACGGAGGAUCCGAGCGUUAUCCGGAUUUAUUGGGUUUAAAGGGAGCGUAGAUGGUUUGUUAAGUCAGUUGUGAAAGUUUGCGGCUCAACCGUAAAAUUGCAAUUGAUACUGGCAGUCUUGAGUACAGUUGAGGUAAGCGGAAUUCGUGGUGUAGCGGUGAAAUGCUUAGAUAUCACGAAGAACCCCGAUUGCGAAGGCAGCUUACUAAACUGUGACUGACAUUGAUGCUCGAAAGUGUGGGGAUCAAACAGGAUUAGAUACCCUGGUAGUC